GAUAUCAAAUCCCUGGCAAUUUUUAUUUAUUUGUACUUUUUUUUUUGGAGGAGAAACAGAAUCUGAGGAGUUUACAGAUAGUAACGAGCCUCAGAAACCACCCGAAAACUGAUACCGAGAACCCAAGCGCUGGGAACGGUGCUAUCAUAAAUCAAGUCGUGAACAUUGGAGAGGGAAGAUUUGUAGAGCGAUCACUCCAACAGUCUGAGAGCCGAAUGGGACUGAACGGAUGAAGAUGGCGUGCUUGUGAAAGUUGGGCAUCUCAUGUGGAGUGUUAUACAGACUGUAAAGUGAACAGAAAAAGGCCAGGAAUGGAAUUGUGCCAUGACAGCAAGCAUCUCUAGACACAUUACACCUGAUAUUACUACCUGUGAGGAAGGCUAUUUCAAACACCAUUAUAUGUUGUUGAUGUGACAUCAGUGCCAUCGGAGUGCCUAAUGUAACAAACCCUAUCAUUUCAGUUCUUUCAGAGAGUAUUCAAAUUAUAGUAAUAAUAAGCAGCUAUCAAUGCACCCCCGAUCAGUGAUAAAAGGCCAUAAAAUUGAAGUGAAAAGCAACAUUAUGUUUUAGUCGAUGUUGAAUUGCAGUAAUUCAUUUUAUUGGCAGAUUUUUAUUGUAUAUAUUUUUUUUUUUUUUUUCUUCAAAUGGAAAAACCACAAGGGUCUCUUACAGGUCCUUUUGAAUUGUGUUACCUCUUUGGGUUUUUGAUUAUUAGAGUGCCAGAAAUGGUGAACAAUUAAUUUCACACAGAGAAUCACCAUGCCCAUACAAACUGCCACAUUCCCUCUCAGAGACGGGCAGCAGAAAGAAAGAAAG